UGCAUUGAACCUAGUGGACAAACUGAUGGCA
rnacentral:piRNA from 1 species